rnacentral:rRNA from 1 species
UACGUAGGGGGCAAGCGUUGUCCGGAAUUAUUGGGCGUAAAGAGCGCGCAGGCGGCUUGGCAAGUCGGGUGUGAAAUCCCGGGGCUCAACCCCGUGACUGCAUCCGAUACUGUCAGGCUAGAGGUAGGUAGGGGAGAUCGGAAUUCCUGGUGUAGCGGUGAAAUGCGCAGAUAUCAGGAGGAACACCGGUGGCGAAGGCGGAUCUCUGGGCCUUACCUGACGCUCAGGCGCGAAAGCUAGGGGAGCGAACAGG